AAACCUUGCCUAACCCAAUACAUGUCUUUCUCAGAAGUCAAAUGGAUUCUCAUCUAGCUCUUGGUCACCAAAUCCUUGCACUUGAUUAUUGUGUACUCCAAUAUCAAUUAGUUGCUCUCCACACACUCAUAUAUGUCUCUAGGUUUCAUCUUGAGUACAACAUUCCAAUCAUCUUCAACAGGAUCUCGAACAUAGAAGACUUGCUGUGCCU
rnacentral:lncRNA from 1 species